GACGAACGCUGGCGGCGUGCUUAACACAUGCAAGUCGAACGCUGAAGCUCAGCUUUUGUUGGGUGGAUGAGUGGCGAACGGGUGAGUAACACGUGAGUAACCUGCCUCCUUCUUUGGGAUAACGCCCGGAAACGGGUGCUAAUACUGGAUAUUCACUGGUCUUCGCAUGGGGGUGGGUGGAAAGGGUGGUUCUGGGGGGGGAUGGGCUCGCGGCCUAUCAGCUUGGUGGUGGGGUGAUGGCCUACCAAGGCUUUGACGGGUCGCCGGCCUGAGAGGGUGCCCGGUCACAUUGGGACUGAGAUUCGGCCCAGGCUCCUACGGGGGGCAGCAGGGGGGAAUAUUGCGCAAUGUGCGCAAGCCUGAUGCAGCGCCGCCGCGUGAGGGAUGGCGGCCGUCGGGUUGGGAACCUCUUUCGCUCAUGGUCAAGCCGCAACAAUGGUUGUGGUGAGGGUAGUGGGUAAAGAAGCGCCGGCUAACUACGUG
rnacentral:rRNA from 1 species